rnacentral:rRNA from 1 species
GAUGAACGCUGGCGGCGUGCCUAAUACAUGCAAGUCGAGCGAAGCGGGGACGGGUGAGUAACACGUGGAUAACCUCCUAUAAGACUGGGAUAACAUCGGGAAACCGGAGCAAAACCGAAUACUUAUAGAUGGAUCAGCGCUGCUUUAGCGAGUUGGUAAGGUAACGGCCUACCAAGGCAACGAUGCAUAGCCGACCUGAGAGGUUGACCGGCCACACUGGAACUGAGACACGGUCCAGACUCCUACGGGAGGCAGCAGUAGGGAAUCUUACGCAAUGGGCGAAAGCCUGACGGAGCCACGCCGCGUGAGUGAUGAAGGUCUUCGGAUCGUAAAACUCUUUUAUUAGGGAAGCGGUACCUAAUGAGAAAGCCACGGCUAACUCCGUGCCAGCAGCCGCGGUAAUUC